GAGGAGCGUCGGCCUUUUAUCUA
rnacentral:miRNA from 1 species